GUUUACAGCUGUUAAGAAGGAAGCCAACACAAGGCCAACACCAACCAAGAAGAAUUUAAAAUAUGCAGACACCAAAACAGAAUUAAAUACAAACAGUAGGAACAAUUCUGCCAGAUACACCUUUGCAAUGAAAGGCUUACCUUCAGUGUUUAUCAUGGGCUGAACAGGCUUCUGCAACUCAUUUGUUUCACCGCUUGCUCCAUGAAGCCCUCCGUUUGCUUUCUUUGCAAGGGAGAUUUCCAGCCUGGAUCACUGAUUCCUGCACCUGCUUCGUCCACCUCAAGAGCCGGAGCUCACCUGUUGUUGGAGGCAAUUCCCAUUCAUUUGGCGCAGGAGACUCAAAGCAGCGAACCCUAAAAACACAUACAACCUGUAGAUUAAAAUCCAAAGCACGCAUGCAAACGUUCAAACAGAAUUAAGCAUUUAUCAGAAGAGCAUGCUGAAAACCAAUAAAACUGAUGAGAAAUGCUGGUGAACAGCCAUUGUGUCCAUUUCCUCCUCGAUUUCCGCCGACUUCCUUUGUCUUGAUGGCUGGCCCUCUCAAUUGCUUCCCUCUAAACUGAUUUUCUGCCCUAAAAAAACCCUCCGUUUUGAAUGGCCGGCUGAAGGGAUUCGUCAACGUCCAUCUCAUUACACCAGAAGGCUGAUGGUCUACGAGUAAUUAAUUUAGGCAUAUUAAUGGCAAGAGGAAAACGUGGGAGGAGGAGGAGGAGGAGGAAGAAGAACCGGAUCCUGCAAAACUUGUCCCUGUCAGGGAUGCAAAGUCUGGAUCCCAAGGGGCGUCAAACCGCAUUAACUCUGCAGUGUGGAUGAGCCUUUGCACGACAGAAGAAACCCCA
rnacentral:lncRNA from 11 species